AUUGAACGCUGGCGGCAGGCCUAACACAUGCAAGUCGAGCGGAUGAAGGGAGCUUGCUCCUGGAUUCAGCGGCGGACGGGUGAGUAAUGCCUAGGAAUCUGCCUGGGAGUGGGGGAUAACGUCCGGAAACGGGCGCUAAUACCGCAUACGUCCUGAGGGAGAAAGUGGGGGAUCUUCGGACCUCACGCUAUCAGAUGAGCCUAGGUCGGAUUAGCUAGUUGGUGGGGUAAAGGCCUACCACGGCGACGAUCCGUAACUGGUCUGAGAGGAUGAUCAGUCACACUGGAACUGAGACACGGGCCAGACGCCUACGGGAGGCAGCAGUGGGGAAUAUUGGACAAUGGGCGAAAGCCUGAUCCAGCCAUGCCGCGUGUGGGAAGAAGGUCUUCGGAUUGUAAAGCGCUUUAAGUUGGGAGGAAGGGCAGUAAGUUAAUACCUUGCUGUUUUGACGGUACCGACAGAAUAAGCACCGGCUAACUUCGUG
rnacentral:rRNA from 1 species